AGAAGCAAAGAAGACCACCGAGCUGGAGAAGAGCUAAAAAACGCAAUUUAUAGAUUACAAUGGCAUUUGCCAAUUAUUAUAUCAAGGACAAGACUGUGGAAGAUGGGAAGAUUUCAUGAAUAAGUCCUGACGACCGGCAAUUAUGUCCAACAACAGUAAAUCACUCAGUGCCCUGGUCUGGAAGAAGACGAAUUGAUGGAGAUAAAGGGGGAGAUUAACGACAGGAAAAAGUCAAACGGCCCAGCCUUUUUUCCUGGAAAGGUUUUGAUGACUGCUGAGCUUCUAGGAGUAGUAGUGACAAGGCCCCAACACCUCCAUCAACCUGGUCAACACACCACCUGGAGAUUGCCUACCUUCUGCACAGAGCUCUCAAGUGUUAUCUGAGCCUGAUGAUAUGCUCAUGCCCAGGCGAAAUUCCCUGACCACCAUGCAAGAUGUGAGACGAAUAAUAAGACAGAAGUACAACAACACCAAGCAAGUAAACGAAAAGAAGUCCUAAAUGUCAACAUAUUAUGUAAAAAUAAA